rnacentral:rRNA from 1 species
AGUGAACGCUGGCGGUAGGCCUAACACAUGCAAGUCGAACGGCAGCACAGUAAGAGCUUGCUCUUACGGGUGGCGAGUGGCGGACGGGUGAGGAAUACAUCGGAAUCUACUUUUUCGUGGGGGAUAACGUAGGGAAACUUACGCUAAUACCGCAUACGACCUACGGGUGAAAGCAGGGGAUCUUCGGACCUUGCGCGAUUGAAUGAGCCGAUGUCGGAUUAGCUAGUUGGCGGGGUAAAGGCCCACCAAGGCGACGAUCCGUAGUUGGUCUGAGAGGAUGAUCAGCCACACUGGAACUGAGACACGGUCCAGACUCCUACGGGAGGCAGCAGUGGGGAAUAUUGGACAAUGGGCGCAAGCCUGAUCCAGCCAUACCGCGUGGGUGAAGAAGGCCUUCGGGUUGUAAAGCCCUUUUGUUGGGAAAGAAAAGCAGCAGGUUAAUACCCCGCUGUUCUGACGGUACCCAAAGAAUAAGCACCGGCUAACUUCGUG